UACCAGCACCCCGAGUGGUCGGGACGAUUAUUGGGCCUAAAGCAUCCGUAGCCGGUCUUGCAAGUCUUCCGUUAAAUCCAGCUGCUUAACAGAUGGGCUGCGGAAGAUACUACAAGACUAGGAGGUGGGAGAGGCAAGCGGUACUCAGUGGGUAGGGGUAAAAUCCUCCGAUCCAUUGAAGACCACCAGUGGCGAAGGCGGCUUGCCAGAACGCGCUCGACGGUGAGGGAUGAAAGCUGGGGGAGCAAACCGG
rnacentral:rRNA from 1 species